CAGCCGUAAACUAUGCGCGUUAGGUGUGCUGGUGACCACGUGUCACCGGGGUGCCGAAGGGAAACCGUGAAACGUGCCGCCUGGGAAGUACGGUCGCAAGGCUGAAACUUAAAGGAAUUGGCGGGGGAGCACCGCAACGGGAGGAGCGUGCGGUUUAAUUGGAUUCAACACCGUAAAACUCACCAGGGAAGACUGUUACAUGAAAGCCGAGAUGAAGACUCUGCUAGAUUUUCAGAGAGGUGGUGCAUGGCGUCAGUGACU
rnacentral:rRNA from 1 species